rnacentral:lncRNA from 1 species
AGCGGGAGAAGUCCAGGUUCAACUUAACAUGUCCUCCUAAUUUAUAAAGCAAACACUGAGAUGUGAUUAUGACUUUAGAGCGUAACAGCAGAAAUCAGAAUGAGAGACAGUCACAAGCACUCAUAAUUUGGAAGCAGAGCCCUGAAGAACUGGCACUUCAUUGCAAGAAAGAGCUCUGCUCCGAAGGACAACUGGCAGACCUGAGUCAUCCCAUCAGUUACAUCAUCAGCAAAAGAUCAUUCUUACAGCACCAAGACCUUCUUCCAU